rnacentral:lncRNA from 1 species
GCAGGACACAAACCUGAGAGGGCAGGAAGUCCACGCUGCCACCACGGGGUCACCACAGGGAGCCUGGUGGGGACACAGAGUAAAAAGAAUAGAAAAUAACCAAAUGUCAAGACUGCAACUGGGGUGGAGCCAAGCUGCUGCGGAUGUUGCCAAGGGCCCUUCCCGGGAGAGCCAGGUGGGGUACCCACAUGCCACCUUCUCCUCAGGUGGAGCCACCGCCUGUGGCCUCCUGUGGGGCCAGCCUGGACUGCAGCUGCCAGGACCUAGUGAUGGCCCCAAACCUGAGAGUGGGCCCAGAGUCCCACCCCGCUAACCAUGCUGAAAAAGGCCACAGGGCACAUGAAGCCUUUGCUCCCUGGAUCAGGUCACGCUCUCCAGUUUUCCUUCCAGGAGGACAGGCCAUGCACUAAAAAACAGCUGCAGAGGAAAGGCUGGACCAGGUGUGCUGGGAGUCACCAGGAGCAAGGUGGUGAAGGAGCACAUGAAUCCGGGCAACGUGACUUAAGAGCUGGCUGAUGUUCCAGGACAGCACAAAAGAACGGAACUUGUUUUCAUGCUAUGAGUGCGCAAACCAAUGGGCAGUUUUUGGGGUUACUCGUGAUUGCUCCUCGGUCCAGAGUUCAGGCAGCAAUCUGAGCCACUCAACUGCUCUUCUUUACCCCUCUACCUCUGCAGUUCAUUGGGGGACAGAGCUGGGCCAGGAUCCUGGGACAGAAGGAGGAGGCGGGCCCAGGAAAGUCCACUUGGGGUAACACACAAUUUGUACAUAAAAAAGAAAUGUUCACCUCUUUGUAUGUACCGUAGUAAUUAUUUCACCUUCUUUUAUGAACUUGCACAUUUUCAGAGAGAGUUAAAUUAAGCAGAGUCUGAAAGUGGAGAAUUCUCACAUAGAUAAAAGAAUGGGGACCUGAAAUUGGGUCAUCAGGAAGUGUCUUGUGGCAAAAUACACUUAGUAUCGAACUGAAGGAAGAAAUAUUUC